rnacentral:rRNA from 1 species
CCUACGGGUGGCAGCAGUGGGGAAUAUUGCACAAUGGGGGGAACCCUGAUGCAGCGACGCCGCGUGAGUGAAGAAGUAUUUCGGUAUGUAAAGCUCUGUCAGCAGGGAAGAAAAAAGAGGGUACCGGACCAAGAAGCCCCGGCUAACUACGUGCCAACAGCCGCGGUAAUAGGUAGGGGGCAAGGGUUAUCCGGAUUUACUGGGUGUAAAGGGAGCGUAGAGGGUUGGGCAAGUCGGGAGUGAAAGGCCGGGGCCCAACCCCAGGACUGCUGUGGAAACUGUCAGGCUGGAGUGCCGGAGAGGUAGGUGGAAUUCCUAGUGUAGCGGUGAAAUGCGUAGAUAUUAGGAGGAACACCAGUGGCGAAGGCGGCUUACUGGACGGUAACUGACGUUGAGGCUCGAAAGCGUGGGGAGCAAACAGGAUUAGAUACCCGAGUAGUC